rnacentral:rRNA from 1 species
UAAUACGGAGGGUGCAAGCGUUAUCCGGAUUUAUUGGGUUUAAAGGGUCCGUAGGCGGGCCGAUAAGUCAGUGGUGAAAUCUCGCAGCUUAACUGUGAAACUGCCAUUGAUACUGUUGGUCUUGAGUAAAUUUGAAGUGGCUGGAAUAAGUAGUGUAGCGGUGAAAUGCAUAGAUAUUACUUAGAACACCAAUUGCGAAGGCAGGUCACUAAGAUUUAACUGACGCUGAUGGACGAAAGCGAGGGUAGCGAACAGGAUUAGAUACCCUGGUAGUCCACGCCGUAAACGAUGCUAACUCGUUUUUGGGCACUUGUGCUCAGAGACCAAGCGAAAGUGAUAAGUUAGCCACCUGGGGAGUACGAUCGCAAGAUUGAAACUCAAAGGAAUUGACGGGGGCCCGCACAAGCGGUGGAUUAUGUGGUUUAAUUCGAUGAUACGCGAGGAACCUUACCAAGACUUAAAUGGGAAUUGACAGAUUUAGAAAUAGAUCCUCCUUCGGGCAAUUUUCAAGGUGCUGCAUGGUUGUCGUCAGCUCGUGCCGUGAGGUGUUAGGUUAAGUCCUGCAACGAGCGCAACCCCUGUCACUAGUUGCUACCAUUCAGUUGAGGACUCUAGUGAGACUGCCUACGCAAGUAGAGAGGAAGGUGGGGAUGACGUCAAAUCAUCACGGCCCUUACGUCUUGGGCCACACACGUAAUACAAUGGCCGGUACAGAGGGCAGCUACACAGCGAUGUGAUGCGAAUCUCGAAAGCCGGUCUCAGUUCGGAUUGGAGUCUGCAACUCGACUCUAUGAAGCUGGAAUCGCUAGUAAUCGCGCAUCAGCCAUGGCGCGGUGAAUACGUUCCCGGGCCUUGUACACACCGCCCGUCAAGCCAUGGAAGCUGGGGGUACCUGAAGUCGGUGACCGUAAAAGGAGCUGCCUAGGGUAAAACUGGUAACUAGGGCU